rnacentral:lncRNA from 1 species
ACGUCUGGUUCGGUGUCUGGUUCCCGUUGUUGUGUCUGGCCAAUUCCUUGGAAAGAAGGAGGCUCACAGCGCCGGGGACAGGGACUUUGCUGAGACAAGAGCAAGCUUAUGUGAUGUCAGCAGAUUCAGUCUGAAGAUCAUGGAUCAGGAAGGAGACUGUCCCCAAUUCUGCCAUGUGAGUUGUUGGUGCUGAGGCUAGACCUGCUGGUAGCUGCCUUCUUGAAGAGGCAGCCAGCCCCAGGUGACUAAGUCUCGAUGGGAGAAGAAGACACUUCUCAAGAUGGGAGGCAGUUUUACAGAGAACCAGCCACCACUCUGCUCCAGGAGUGGAAGGUCCCUAAGAACUCAACUGGGAGAUUUGAAUUUCGAGUGGUCACCCCACGCCUGCACUACUCCACACCUGCGCUACCUCACACCUGAGCUGCCCCACAGCUGGGUCACUCCACACCCAAGCCACUCUUCACCUGUGCUAGUCACCCCACACCUGCUACUUCCCACCUGAGCUGCCCCACACCUGAGCCCACACCUGGAUUUGGGAGUUUUCCAAGUCAUAUAAAAUGGUUUAUCUGCCCUGCUAACACCUCUUAGGGAAGGAGUCACCUUAACAGCACAUGAGGGGACCUUACACAUUCCUUACCCACGAGUGGCAGUCAGGGGACUCCUGGCAGGAGUCAGUUCUCUCUUCCUAAGACAUAGGUUCUGUACUGCCACUCUGAGAGUUCCAGGGACCUCAGGCUUAGCAGACAAUGCCUUUGCCUGCGAACCAUCUGCAACAGGUUCUAAAAGACAAGUGUUGCUAAGGAAAACUUAUUCGUGAUCAAAUUAGCUGAAAUAAGAAAGUGAUAUACAUUGUUUUCUUUUAAAAAUAAACCGAAGCCUUUAUCCAUA